rfam:Gossypium arboreum cultivar AKA8401 contig_115261_1, whole genome shotgun sequence.
UCUGGGGGAGCAUUUUGUCCAUGUUAGCAAAAAACGUGUCCUUGGGGGCGCGCUUUGCUGACGUGGGCAAAACGCUCCCCCAGGA